UCGUUGUGCUUGAAAACGAUUAACUUAAUAAUAGCAUUGGAAGGUUCCCAUGCCAGUCGAGUCUAUGUAACCGAAACGGACCCGGAUUUUUAUUAGGACUGUCAACUCGGCAACAUUCCUUCAAAUUACUUUAGGGAUAUUUUCUACGGUUACAACAACAACAGAAGACACUCCUAAGAUACACUUACAUAAGUGUUUCAAUCCUACAAUUAUCUCAUCAUCUACUCUAUGGUUUCCACGAGAUCAAAUUGGUUGUAGAUGUGUUUCAGCUUGUACUUUUUCAUUAUUUUUUUAUAUAUUUGAGUAUCUUCUGUAAUCGCAAUGCAAAAAAUUUGCAGAUGAAGCCUAAAUAUAUAAUGGAUUACGUUCUUUAAGCUUAAUUGAAUGUGCCACAGCUUUAGAUGCCUUUUAUGAUGUACUUCUUUAUGCUAUCCGACAAUUACCUAUAAGCCACCUGCUAAAUACUAAGGGCUGUCAAAAAUAUAUUCUAGGGCCUGACAUUGCCAGUUUCGAAAAUUGCAAAGCACGUUCAUAUACCUGCAAUGGAUACCUAUUGACCAUUCUAAAUUUUCUGAACUAAAUUAACCAAAAUUCCAUCUUCAACUUGCUUAUGUUUUAUUUGUAUCAUUACAUUCUCUCAUAAGUCUUAGCGACGCGAACAACACGGUCGUUGAUAACCUCUCGCAUUUUGUUUGCAACAAUAAAGUCCAUGUGAUUCCAAGUUGGAUCGGAUACGCGAUAAUCCUCAACUAGAUACGGCAUAUUUUUUACCAAAGUGUCGACAUCGCGAGGACCGCACAGAGCAUCGUUGGCGCUCGAGUAUAAUUGGAGAUAAUGUAUGCCCUGAUUGCUGGACGAACCGCCUGGAUGGGUCUCAAUGAGCACUUGCAUGGAAGUCUGAAAUAUCAAAAUAGAAGAUAUUAAGAUGUGACAAAUUGCUUAAGCGCCAACCGCACUUCAUCGAAUGUUAAUGCUACUGCUAUAUUUGCCAUAGCCAGCAGAAGCCCGGAGGCCAAUAUUACUUUAUUAAACUUCAUUCUUAAAUGUUCACUACACAUUAAACAAUUUUCGCUUUGGACACGUCGCUUUAUAAGCACCAAUGACUUGGCCAUGAUUUCCCGCUAUGCCACCAGCGAUAGCUUAUCUCUCAAACUUGAUUAGACAAUUUGGUAAUUUGGAAUACUUUAAUUUAUGGAUUUUCAAUGCCUAAUCCAACACAACACAAUCGCAAAUAUAUACUGCUAAGCGUUCGUUCAAUUUUAUUAUGCUUUCAAUAUACAAUACCUUAAAAAAUCUA